GAGAUCGUCUUCUGUGCAGAGUUCGCUACACCACCGGCCAUAUCCCAAGGAUGAAUAAUAACAUGAAACCGUAUGACAAAAAUCUAUUGAGAACCGGUGUACUAUUCUGCUUACUGGCCUCAUGGAUAUACUCAACUUGUGCCCAAGAAACAUCAUGUGGAGCCGUCAAUCGAUACACUCAACAGGUUACAAACGAUGACAAUAUCAUUCAGAGUUACGUCUCUUACACUACUGCUACUGCUACUAGAACCACACCGCGAACGCAGCUGUCGCCCGGUACACCAUACACAGUAGUUUUCGAGUAUCCUGGAAAUUGCAACUUGGUAGCUCGUAAGAUUUCGUUCGCGUCACUAGGUCUGUGUGACUUCAGUGUAAUGCGUCAACAGCACAAUGGAGGGAUGUGGUCACAUUGGACAUCUGUACGAUUUUCUCAUGUGCCGCAUCGUUAUAAUAAUGGAGCGAAAUAUUACGAUGAACUAAGGAUAGUACAACCCAUUUGGAGACGUACCCGUAUCAAAGUUACAAUACGGAACCGAAAUGGAUGUCAUACACCUCUGGUCGGUACUGAGCCAUUCAUAUCUCUGUUUUGCGAGGAUGUAAAUGAAUGUACAGAAACUCCACAUCCAUGCAAUCCUUACAGUGGAGUUGAUUCUGGCCAAUGUUUCAACAACUAUGGUUCCUACUCCUGCGUAUGCUACUCCUCGUCUUCACAGGCUGGCGGAAC